rnacentral:lncRNA from 1 species
GCCUAGACUUCCGCUACUAAAUUGAAAAGAGCCAACCUUAUGAAGAUAUCCUGAUUUCGGCCAAGAACUCCAAAUGAGGGCUUAGCAACAAGCCAAUCACAAGGAGAUAUCCCGACUUAAGUCAGGACCUCGACAAACCUAGAUUAGAAGCAUCCCAACCUGAUAAGUCAGCUCCAGUCGGGCUUAGAUGAUAAGGUGUCAGUAGAUAACAUCACGAACUUGGCCGUGGAUAAGGGACC